rnacentral:rRNA from 1 species
UACAGAGGUCUCAAGCGUUGUUCGGAUUCAUUGGGCGUAAAGGGUGCGUAGGUGGCGGGGUUAGUCAGGUGUGAAAUCUCGGAGCUCAACUCUGAAACUACAUUCGAUACUGCCGUGCUUGAGGACUGGAGAGGAGACUGGAAUUUACGGUGUAGCGGUGAAAUGCGUAGAUAUCGUAAGGAAGACCAGUGGCGAAGGCGGGUCUCUGGACAGUUCCUGACGCUGAGGCACGAAGGCCAGGGGAGCAAACGGG